UACAGGGGGGGCAAGCGUUGUUCGGAAUUACUGGGCGUAAAGGGCCAGUAGGCGGCCAACUAAGUCCGACGUGAAAUCCCCAGGCUUAACCUGGGAACUGCGUCGGAUACUGGAUGGCUUGAAUUCGGGAGAGGGAUGCAGAAUUCCAGGUGUAGCGGUGAAAUGCGUAGAUAUCUGGAGGAACACCGGUGGCGAAGGCGGGUCUCUGGGCCGUUACUGACGCUGAGGAGCGAAAGCGUGGGGAGCGAACAGG
rnacentral:rRNA from 1 species